AUGAUUCCAGAGGGAACAAGACCUCUAUUCUCUGAUGAUGACUUUACACAGAAAGACAGGGAUGAUGCAGGAUCCACAGGAGAUAUUGUGAUGACCCAGACCCCACUCUCUCUGUCCGUCAGCCCUGGAGAGACGGCCUCCAUCACCUGCAAGUCCAGUGAGAGCCUCGUACAUAGUGAUGGAAAAACCUAUUUGAAUUGGCUGGUGCACAAGCCAGGCCAGGCUCCACAGCGCAUGAUUUAUGAGGUUUCCAACCGGGACUCUUGGGUCCCAGACAGGUUCAGCGGCAGUGGGUCAGGCACAGAUUUCACACUCACAAUCAGCAGGGUGGAGGCUGAGGAUACUGGAGUUUAUUACUGCUGUCAAGGUACGAACCUUCUUCCACAGUGA